rnacentral:rRNA from 1 species
GUCGGGAAUUUUGGGCAAUGGGGGAAACCCUGACCCAGCAACGCCGCGUGAGGGAUGAAGGCCUUCGGGUCGUAAACCUCUGUCAGGAGGGAAGAAGGUCCUCGGGGUGAACAAUCCCGGGGAAUUGACGGUACCUCCGAAGGAAGCGCCGGCUAACUCCGUGCCAGCAGCCGCGGUAAUACGGAGGGCGCAAGCGUUGUUCGGAAUCAUUGGGCGUAAAGCGCGUGUAGGCGGUCUGGUCAGUCGGGUGUGAAAGCCCGGAGCUCAACUCCGGAACUGCACUCGAUACUGCCAGGCUAGAGUCCCGGAGAGGGUGGUGGAAUUCCCGGUGUAGAGGUGAAAUUCGUAGAUAUCGGGAGGAACACCAGUGGCGAAGGCGGCCACCUGGACGGUGACUGACGCUGAGACGCGAAAGCGUGGGGAGCAAACAGGAUUAGAUACCCUAGUAGUCC